UACGAAGGGGGCUAGCGUUGCUCGGAAUCACUGGGCGUAAAGGGUGCGUAGGCGGGUUUUUAAGUCAGGGGUGAAAUCCUGGAGCUCAACUCCGGAACUGCCCUUGAAACUGCAGUGCUAGAAUCCUGGAGAGGCGAGUGGAAUUCCGAGUGUAGAGGUGAAAUUCGUAGAUAUUCGGAAGAACACCAGUGGCGAAGGCGACUCGCUGGACAGGUAUUGACGCUGAGGUGCGAAAGCGUGGGGAGCAAACAGG
rnacentral:rRNA from 1 species